GAUGAACGCUGGCGGCGUGCCUAAUACAUGCAAGUCGAGCGAACGGACGAGAAGCUUGCUUCUCUGAUGUUAGCGGCGGACGGGUGAGUAACACGUGGAUAACCUACCUAUAAGACUGGGAUAACUUCGGGAAACCGGAGCUAAUACCGGAUAAUAUUUUGAGCCGCAUGGUUCAAAAGUGAAAGACGGUCUUGCUGUCACUUAUAGAUGGAUCCGCGCUGCAUUAGCUAGUUGGUAAGGUAACGGCUUACCAAGGCAACGAUGCAUAGCCGACCUGAGAGGGUGAUCGGCCACACUGGAAUUGAGACACGGUCCAGACUCCUACGGGAGGCAGCAGUAGGGAAUCUUCCGCAAUGGGCGAAAGCCUGACGGAGCAACGCCGCGUGAGUGAUGAAGGUCUUCGGAUCGUAAAACUCUGUUAUUAGGGAAGAACAUAUGUGUAAGUAACUGUGCACAUCUUGACGGUACCUAAUCAGAAAGCCACGGCUAACUACGUG
rnacentral:rRNA from 1 species